rnacentral:lncRNA from 1 species
UUCUUCUCCUGCUUCUCAUUCUGUGCACGCUCGCUUCGCCCACUCGCUGCGCGCUCUCUUCGUCGCCUCGCUCCGUCUUGUUCGAACGCCCUGUCCUCCGGCUCUGCACCAUGGCCACCCGUUCCUCCAUUGGUUGAGGUUCUUUCUAUUCCGCUCCUCUGGUUCUUCCCUGCCGUUGUUCGUUAUUUCUACGAUUUGCUGAUCUGGUCUGUUUCCAUUUGCUCCCUUCGUGCGCAGCUUCCUUGGAUUUCGCGUUGGCUCCUUCGUAGGAGCGUGGCUUGUUCUGUCCUUGCUGUCCAGGUUAGUGCGCGCCUUCUCUGCUUCUCUACGGGUGCAUGCCUGUUAGGUGUUUGAUGAAAUGCGCGAGGAUUGCUCGAUGAAUGCUGCCGCGUGUUUUCAUCUUGCGUUAGUUGUGCAUGGUUCGCGGUGUCAGUUACUGCGUCUUGUAUGAGGAUAUGAUGAUGCUGAUGCUUUUGUUUCCAUCGUUGCGCCUGUUUUGGAAUACCAUUGCAGCACAGUGUGCUUUCAGUGCUCGUUGCUUUCUCCUGUGUUCUGAUCUCUUAUGUAGUACUAAUGAUCUUUAUGGACUGGUUAUUUGACGAUGGCGUGUGAUCUUUUAUCUUUCGGUACAGUUGGUUUGUUUUUUAUAGUUCCUAUAUAGUUGCAUUUGCAUGCCGUUGUUCUGUACUGAUUAUUUCCCUUUCUAUUUUACAGGUUGUUCCAUCUUGCUAAUUUGGUGCAGAAUCUCCGUUUAGCUCAUCGCCGCGUCUUCAUUCUGCUCGUUGGGUCGCGUCAAGGUUUGCUGUUUUGAUCUCUGCCUGUCUUGCUGCUCUACUUUCUGUGUGUGCUUUCAUGUUCUAUAGCCUCCUAAUCGUUUGUUCCGGACAUGGCCGGGUGUCGUGUACUUUAUUAUAUAUUUCGUUCUUUCAUGCCAGCAGGAUGUGUGCGUUUGUUUGGGUUAUUAUUCCUAUUUUGGAGGCUGUGGUGGUCGAGUGCGCUUUGCCAUCCCUUUUGCACCUGUGUGAGGUCGCAGAAGAUGGCUCUGUCCUUGCUGGGUGGAGCUUGAGCUUCCUGGGGAUGGUUCUGGUGGAGUGCCUCGGCGAGAGUUUUUUGGAGCUCGGCCUGGUGUGGGUUCAUGAAUGCUUUCCUGUAACUGAAUGCUUCUUAUUAAGCAUGCUUUAAAGCUAGAGUCUUUGACUGCUCGAGUGGCUGUGUCAACGCAAGAUAAAAACAAAACUCCCCUAUAUUAUGAAGUGAACCCUACCUUAUUAUAUGUGUGUAUAUUGUUCAGUUAUUGCUUGCUCUCCGCGGGAUCAGUUAUUGUUUGCUCUUCUAUGUGUGCUAUACUGCUUUGUAACAUGCAGUCGUUUUUCUCUUUUUGGAUUGCCUAUUUUUUGUUUCCUUUUUGAAGUUUUAUUCCCUCUGCUAACUGUCUUAUUUUUUGAUACCAGUGUGGCCUCUGGGCUGCUUGUGUCUCCUUGGCCCAUUUAUUCGUGAUGCAAGGAAAUGGCCUCUGUGUUGUCCCCUCCUGCAGCCGUUACAUGUAGCCCCUUGGCUGAAACCUGAUACCAUUGUACAACAGUGCAAGUGUCUUGCCUGAUGGUCUUUAAAAAAUUCUUAUACACGAAUGGCUGGACUGAUUUUUUCAACAUAAUAAGUACUUGUUUUCUACAGUUGGUAGCAUAUAUAUAGCUUACGGAGAUCUCAUGUAACAGAAACAGACAUCUAAGUUGAAACUUGGGGAUCAUCUUAUAGCCUCAUGUUCACUUCUCUCCCUUUUAUUUCAUCUCAUAACGUCGUUUAAGCAUAAGUUCAGUUUCAUUUGCUCAAGUUGGAACUGUGGUGUACCUCUCGAUGAGUAUGCUACUGAGAGGGUUUAGAUCAGAGAACUAAACAAGCUGUGGGUCAGUGGCUAACCAAAUGCCACUGCCAUACAUCUCUUUAUCACUUGGAUACUAGCAGCAAAUCAAAAUGAGCAGGGAGGAAACAACACUGGUUUUUAGUAGAUAUAUGUCUGUGAUUUACUUGCAAUGUUGUUCCUUGCAAAACUGUUCCUUGCAAUCCUGAAAUGAUUUCUCAAAAUAUGGGAAAAUUUACAUUCUAAAAACUGUACGCACACUGAGUGAAGCAUAUAUAUAAUGCUAUUAUAACAUAGGUCAGGUAGAUAUAUAUAAUUUUCUAUACACAAAUUGUUAUAGUAUGAUUUUAUUAGAACAGAGGUCGGGUAUUGCCAUGACGUACAUUGUGAUUUCAGUUUUCAUCAAUGUCGCUCUUAUUAUUAUCUCUUUGUAGCUUCAUAUAAAAUUAGUGUUGACAUGGUCAUUUUACAGAAUGAGUGAAAAUGGUAGGUUGGUAGAAUCAUAACCUGUGAGUUCCUUAAGAAGUUUUUUUCAUUAUCUGUAAUAUAUUGUUUAGGGCCAGUUAAGAUGUGUAGUCGAAAAAUAUGAGUAAAAUAGUGAAUAUUUUGCAUUGCCUUGGUGUUUAGUAUGUCUAUUGCAUAAUCCUUUUUUGCUUCUCUUUUCAAAGCAAGGACCAGGCUGGGAACAUAUGUUUAUAAUGAAGUUCUUUCAUUGCAGACUGCAGACUGCAUAGUAACUUCAUGUUCUUAGUGGCGAUCCAUUAGCAGCAGACCUUGCCCAUGAGCUAAUGGCAGUCCAUGUAAAUGCCUUUAAUUCUUACACUUUAUCUUACACUUGAAUACUUGUCAGUGGUACUGCUAGCCUUUUACCUUUGUAAUACAUAGUAGGAAAUUUCUGAAGCUUUAUCUUGCCAUAUGUAUCUAAUUUGUUGUUGGCCGUAUUAGAAAUAAUCAAUAAUUUCGCCACGUGGGAGCUCAUGCUUGUGGGCAAGUUGUCUGGCUAAAUUUCUCUGUACAUACACUUCUUUCUUUAGAGAACUAGAAUUGUUUGAUACUGGCAGUUUAUGUCGAGCUGCCUAAGGUACAUGCUUUUUUUCUCCUUUUCUCUAAUCCUUCCUUUACAUGUUGGUACGUUUUAUAGCCAGGUUCAGAUCGGUGAUAUCCGUGCCAAUGGAUGAGGUAUGACAAUAUUUGUCUUAUUUACUGCUUGCAUACAUAGUGAGUUCAUUCAUCCUACUACUGACUAAAACGUACAGUUACAUACUCAAUGAAGUUGAUCUUGGGCUCAACCCUUUAACUCCAGCCUGCAACUGCUGGAAGUUUCCUGGCUAAGAAGCACUGAGAAAAGGAUUACUGAAGCGGUGACUGGGUGGGUACACCUGAGGCGAUUGAUGUCAAGAUCCUGAGCAUGUGGAAUUGGAAUUUCGUUUGUCGAGUCCUGGCACCAGUAUUGUUGGCUGUUUUGUUAACUUUCCCCCCCUGUUUAUGGGAGAUCCUUUAGGAGCUGUAGGCGCUAAACAACACCUAAGUUUCAUUCAUGCAACCAUGAAGGUUUUGGGGGAUGACACUCUUGCUCUCAGAAAAGGUUCUAUACACAAUUUCAUUCCAUAGGUUCUGGGAGAUCCUUUGUGUAAAUAAUAGCUUGCAAAAACGUCGUACAUUGCAUGUCGGAGGAGUAUUACUUAUCCAUGUUAACAUUGUGAAUGAUAAGUUACAUAAGGGAGAAACUUUAUCACCAAAUAAAGGCUUUGAUAUGCAAAUAAUUCUCUGUACAAUGUCAAGAUCAUACACCCAUAAGUUGAGAAAAAUAAUGGCUUUAAGUUCUUAG